rnacentral:rRNA from 1 species
AGUCGUUCUGCCCAUUGAUUUUAAAAGGCUGCGGUAUAUUAACUGUACAAAGGUAGCAAAAUAAUUAGUUUUUUAAUUGAAAACUUGAAUGAAAGAGUUGAUAAAAUAUAAAUUGUCUCAAGAUUUAAAUUUAAGUUAAAAGUUAAAAUGCUUUUAUUAAUUUAUUAGACGAUAAGACCCUAAGAAUUUUAUUAUUAAAAUUUUUUUAAUAAUUAAUAGAAGUGAAAAUAAUUUUAUUGGGAGGAUAAUUAAAUAUAACUUUAAUUUUAAUAAAUAUGUGUUAAUAAAGUUAAUGAUUAUUUUUAAUAUUAUAGGAUUAAAUUACCUUAGGGAUAACAGCGUAAUAAUUUUGGAGAGUUCAUAUUGAUAGAAUUGUUUGCGACCUCGAUGUUGAAUUAAAAUAAAAAUUAGAUGAAGAUAUUUAAAUUUUUAGUCUGUUCGACUAUUAAAAUUUUAC